rnacentral:rRNA from 1 species
GAUGAACGCUAGCUACAGGCUUAACACAUGCAAGUCGAGGGGCAGCAUUAUCUUAGCUUGCUAAGAUAGAUGGCGACCGGCGCACGGGUGAGUAACACGUAUCCAACCUUCCGGUUACUCGGGGAUAGGCUUUCGAAAGAAAGAUUAAUACCCGAUGUUGCGUAUCUUUCUCCUGAAGAUACGCCAAAGGACUCCGGUAACCGAUGGGGAUGCGUUCCAUUAGGCAGUUGGCGGGGUAACGGCCCACCAAACCUUCGAUGGAUAGGGGUUCUGAGAGGAAGGUCCCCCACAUUGGAACUGAGACACGGUCCAA